AUUGAUGUCUUACCAGACAAAGUUAGAUCUAGCUAUUUUCGUCUAAUACUGUCUGGUAAUGCCGUCUAU
rnacentral:pre_miRNA from 1 species